rnacentral:rRNA from 1 species
GAUACCCUAUUAUUAUGAUUGUUAAUUUUGUCUUUAUUUAUUAAUAGAUAAGUUCUUUAAAAUUAAAAGAUUUGGCGGUAUUUUAGUCUGUUCAGAGGAACCUGUUAUUUAAUUGAUGGUCCACGAUAAUUUUUACUUUAGUUNUUAAUUUACAUAUCGUCGUUUAUAAAAAUUUUAUUAGAAUAUUAAUUUUUAUUGUUUUUUAUUAUUUUUUAUUUCAGAUCAAGGUGUAGUUUAUAUUGAAGCUAUAAUGGGUUACAUUACUAGUAAGUUUGGGUUUUUAUUUUAAAAUUAUUAAUAAAUUGGAUUUGAGAGUAAAAUUUUUAUUUAUGAGAUUUGAUAUAGCUCUAAAAUAUGCACACAUCGCC